CUCACUAUCAUGUCAAAGGUGAAAGGUUGUGUUUACAACUAUGAUGAGAGGAUGAAGAGGGACUAUCCUUCUGGGAACGAGAAAAGAAAAAAUUCAAUGAGAGUGAACUGCGUGAACGUCAGGACCAGGGCUCAGUCAGUAUAACAGCCUUACAUCGACCACAUGUUGGCCUGGACUAGAAACAUGAUCCAGACACGAUUCCCCUAACCCGGCCUUUCGGGUGAAAUGGCCAUAUCCCAGUGGAACUGCCUCAAAGAAGGAUCCUAAUAUCAUAUAUCAGUUAGAUGACCAAGUUCAGGGCCUGCACGACUGCUGCAGCUCAGCGCUGGAGCUUGGAUCAAUCGAAUACUGUUGGGGAUACAAUGGACCACACCCACAUACUGAUUAGACCCUUUGAUUGGAUAUCACAUGGAUGUCUUGACCACUGCCGUGGCUUUCAUGCAAAUUGAUGAAGGAGCAUAAAAGCAGCUGUGAGGAGCCUGGAAGGUCUCCCAGCUCUGCCCCUCACCUCUGUCACAUCUGCCUGCUAGUGCCAUCAAGGUGCGUCAAUCGUCCACCCUGGCAUCUCUUUACCUGUGGCACUAUGCUUCACCUUGCUGGCUAGCACGCUUCUACCCUCCCCCAUUCCUCCCAUCUCUUGUUCCUCAAGGCAUCUGUCACUCACCUGUCAUUUCUUUCAUCAACUCCUGCCUUCCUCCUACCUUCUUGCACCAGCCUCGGCAAAGGCGGGAAGGGAACCACCGGAGCGAAAUGGGGAACACUUUGUCCCAGUUCCAGGGUUUAGCUGCUGCAAAGGAUGACGCAUCGGGGAGGUGUUGACUGGCCACAGCAUAACACUUAAGCAGGUUUCUCUAUGGAGGCACUGGAUUUUGGAGAACGUAUGAUUUAAAUGUUUGACACACUUGAAGGAUAUGACAUUUUCCAUAUGUGACAGAAAUUCAUAGGUUUGUUCUGCAUGAUUACAUUUAUUAUGAUAGAAUGCUAAAAACCAAGUAAAAUAGAUGUCCUCUGUCCUGAAUUGAGAUCAGCUGUCACCAGGUCUGCAAAUGUAUUCCAGUUAUAGUUAUAUACUGUAUAUAACUCCUGCACCAGUUGUUUCAAGACAUACACCAUUAAAUGUAUUGCACUUGUCAUGCUGUGAUUGUAAUUCUGAUCGUUUGCUAAAGUGUAAGAUGAAGAUAAUCAUGAAGUCCGUGAGAUGCGGUUGAAAGUUCCAGCAAAAGCGAG